CCCACUUUCGCUGUCCAUGCACUUUGCGAACCGUUUCGCAACAAGUGCACACGCGAAAAGAUAAAGUGAUGGUUGCUUCAGCGCACAUUAAAAGUGUUUAAAGUUUAUUCAACACUCUAAAACAGGACUAUUUUGCACCGAACCAAUAUUAAGACAUGGCUUGUUUUCCCUGGAUGAAGGAAUAAUCACCCCCACCACCACCACCACCACCACCACCACCACCACCGCCACCUCCUUACAAAGACACCCUGGGAAAGUGCUCCUGGAGGGGGGAGCCAUUGGAGGGAAUAAUGUCACACAAGAAGGAAGAGAGCGGUUGUGGCCUAGUGUGCCUCAGAGGUUUCUACAGCUGCAACUGCAGGCAGCCGGAGGGCAGGAAGAGAAGGGUCUGUAUCAGCAAGGCAGUGAUGAGCGUAGCUAGGAAUAUUGGGCCCCAUGAAAAUAUUUAACGCGGGCCCCAGAGAUAUCAGAGAUAUGUCUCACGGGAAAAAAAUUGAAAGAACUUUUAAAGUUUUUGUCACUGUAGAUCAAAUGAUGUUCUCUUUGCUUUAUUUUAAAUGUAAACGGAAAUGGCUGUAUUUCACAACCUACUGAUAAAUCGUAUAUGAUUUAAAUUCCACUCUUCCUCUUAGGGCCCCCUGAAUCUACCUCACCUUUCAACCCCAUAGGGCAGAUUUUCAGCUUGACCAGUACAUUAAGAAUACAUUGACAAGCACUUGGACAUGGAAUCUUUAGUUUGUAGACCUGUUGUAUAAGUAAGGGACAAUGCCUGCUUAUACCAUGGUCACUUGCCAAAGAAAAUAAAUUAAGACCAUUCAUUGAUAUUUUCAUGCAUUUUACAAUCCAAAUAUAACGUUUUUCACAAGCCACAACUUUGUUUCCCUGGUAACGCCUGAGGGUUUGACUAAUACCUGGAACAACCAUUACGCUCCCGUGAGGGUUCUUAUGCAACGGACACGUUGUUCACUCCCCCAGUAAUUUGGACAGACCUUAGCUACGAAUUGGCAACGGGUAUUCUAGUCCGCUCAGCUAUGAGCCAGAGAGCUAACAUUAUGCAUUGUACAUAUUUAUAAUUCGAAAUUCGUCCCAGCCUUUAUACCACAGAUACUCUAGGGUCUAUAGCAUAUAACCGCGUGGUCUGAUUACAGUUUAAUUAAUUUUUCACAAUUUACCAGCUCUCGUUUUGAAUACCGAAUCACCACGCCAUUUGUUUCAAUGGGAAUCGCGACGGUCCAUACUUUCAACAUAAAGUGUACAAAUUUAUAAUUUGAAAUUCGUCCCAGCCUUUAUACCACAGAUACUAUAGUGUCUAUAGCAUAUAACCGCGUUUUCUGAUUACAGUUUAAUGCAUUUUUCACAAUUUACCAGCUCUCGUAUUGGAUGCUGAACAGAUUAUUUGACUGGAACUACAGGCGUCCGUAUAUCAGGAGUUAAAGCACACCCUUCAGCCAAUCAGAAUCGAGUAUUCCCCCAGACCGUGGGAAUAAACAAAAGUUUCCUGUGUGCUUGUAUGGCGACAACCCUCAUUCUCAUAUAACCGUCACAAAAUCCCUGUGAUUUGGGAUUAACAUUCCUGGUGGACUCAAUUGAGACGCAUUGUCAAAUGAUUUUCCGCGUGAACAGUUUUAUAAAACAGCAAGCCUCGGUGUCGAUUGGGCUGAAUUUUUUUUCUUUCCUGAGAGACGUUGGGUUAUCGAGUUUCUUCGAGCAGUUGGUGUGGAAUGCAAAGUGUUGUUGUUGUCAACGUUGACACUACAGUCCUUGAUAGUUGGGCCUGUCGGAGCCUGUGAGAGGACAAGAAGUUUAGGACGGUUACAUUGUAUUGUUCCACAGCAUGAAGUGGUGAUGUUUUUAAAGAUAAUUCAAAACUAGCGCUGGUCACAGAGACGUUUUGAAAUAUUUUGGAAGUGAUCCAAAGGCAUGUGCUAACGUCUGCAACCAACAUUCAUCUCCACAUAUACUCAAACACCUGCCCACACCCUCGCAUCAAUCACACAGACAUGUGCACGCACGCAAGCAAACAGAAUUAUGGUAACAAAGAAAAUAGGUAAAUAUGCAUAGGCCUACUAUUGUUUCAUAACCACUCAAACCAGUUUUUUCUCUUCUAGCGUGAGGGAUGCUGGCUGUCAUUGGUUUUCCUGGCCUGCCUGCUCGCUGUUUGUUGGCUGUAUGUUUGUAUGGUUACAUUCAAUGACAGAGAGGAUGUUAAUUGGUAGGUAAUUUCUCACUCACUCACUCACAUAAAUAGUUAGAUGUACACACUUGCAUUCACCAACAAAUUGACCCCUCAGA
rnacentral:lncRNA from 1 species